UACGGAGGGUGCGAGCGUUGUCCGGAAUCACUGGGCGUAAAGGGCGCGUAGGCGGCCUGAUAAGUAGGGGUGAAGUCCUGCGGCUUAACCGCAGGGCUGCCUUCUAAACUGGUCAGGCUUGAGCACAGUAGAGGCAGGUGGAAUUCCCGGUGUAGCGGUGGAAUGCGUAGAGAUCGGGAAGAACAUCAGUGGCGAAGGCGGCCUGCUGGGCCUGUUGCUGACGCUGAGGCGCGACAGCGUGGGGAGC
rnacentral:rRNA from 1 species